rnacentral:rRNA from 1 species
AGAGCGAACGCUGGCGGCAGGCCUAACACAUGCAAGUCGAGCGCCGUAGCAAUACGGAGCGGCAGACGGGAGAGUAACACGUGGGAACGUACCCUUUGGUUCGGAACAACCCAGGGAAACUUGGGCUAAUACCGAAUAAGCCCUUACGGGGAAAGAUUUAUCGCCGAAGGAUCGGCCCGCGUCUGAUUAGCUAGUUGGUGGGGUAACGGCCCACCAAGGCGACGAUCAGUAGCUGGUCUGAGAGGAUGAUCAGCCUCAUUGGGACUGAGACACGGCCCAAACUCCUACGGGAGGCAGCAGUGGGGAAUAUUGGACAAUGGGCGCAAGCCUGAUCCAGCCAUGCCGCGUGGGUGAUGAAGGCCCUAGGGUUGUAAAGCCCUUUCGGCGGGGAAGAUAAUGACGGUACCCGCAGAAGAACGCCCCGGCUAACUUCGUGCCAGCAGCCGC